AUCAAAAUAUUUGUGCAAGAAAGUGAUAAAUCAAAUUAAAGGAAUUAAGAUGACUUGUUGUGGCAAAGAAGAAAGUCCAAUUCUAUGUGCAACAAAGGGUUGUGGUUUUUAUGGAACCUCAAGCAAUCACAACCUUUGUUCUCAAUGCUACAAAGCUUUUCUCAAGGAAGAAGAAGCCAAGAUUAUAGCGGCUUUAUCCGACAACAUAUCUUCUCUUACUAUUCAUGAUGAUGAUUUUCAAGGGUUCAUAGGUAUCCUGAAGAACAUGAAUGCACUUUCAAUUUCAAGUCUACUGGUCGUAUGACUUUGGCUAAGGAAAAUCCUCUAUGCAAAGCUGAUAAACUCGAGACUAGGAUCUAAGGACAUUAUUGUAAUUGUUUGGAUUUGCUUUCAAAUUUUAUCUUAUCUUUGUAGAAUCAAA